rnacentral:rRNA from 1 species
UACGUAGGGGGCUAGCGUUGUCCGGAAUCAUUGGGCGUAAAGAGCUCGUAGGCGGUUUGUCGCGUCGGGAGUGAAAACCUUGGGCUUAACUCAGGGCUUGCUUUCGAUACGGGCAGACUAGAGGUAUGCAGGGGAGAACGGAAUUCCUGGUGUAGCGGUGAAAUGCGCAGAUAUCAGGAAGAACACCCGUGGCGAAGGCGGCUCUCUGGGACGGUACUGACGCUGAGACGCGAAAGCGUGGGGAGCGGACAGG